CUAUAAUCUCCUCAGAUCCCUCAGCAGUGACAUCAGACACCUCAGGUCUCUGAGGUCUCUGAACGUUGAAGGGAAUCAGUUAGUGGCUCUUCCCGCCGGUCUGCUCCGUGUGUCUGUGUCGGAGCUCAGGAUGUCUGGGAAUUACACACAUGUGUUACUGUGGAGCGAGAACAGCUGCAACUCUCCUCAGACGCUGCUGCACACGGCUGCACACACACUCGCACACACACACACACAGCAGCGCUACACACACCUGCUGCCCGCCACACGGGUCAUCCUGAACAGUGCUGGUGUGUGUGACGCUUGCAGGGGUCCCAUGUUCGGCGCGGGUCUCAAGCUCAUUCGUCCCGCUCACGGCGUGUUUGGGCUUCCGUCCGUCCCGGUCAUGUUCUGCUGCUGUUCUCCUGCGUGUCUCCACAGAUUCAGGAAACAAACCAACAACAACCAGACGCAGUCUGAUCAGACAAGAGCCACUUUAUUCUCCUGCAGAACUGCAGCGUUUACACUUCUUUAAAACACCUUCAGAGGAAAAUGGACAAAUCAUGUAAAAUACUUCUUCAUUCUGACUGUUUUGAACUUCCUCUCAAGCCCAAAUACUGUCCUGCUCACAUGAAAUGCGUUAUACUGCUGUAUACGAUUCAUAAACAUUUCCUAUUAGAUUUUUCAUUCUUUUGAUAGUCAAAUAAAAGUCAAUUUAUUCAGUGCUUUGUACAAUACAAUAAUCUUCCACA
rnacentral:lncRNA from 1 species